CACUGUACGAGUUUGAUCAUGGCUCAGGGCGAACGCUAGCGCGGGCUUAACACAUGCAAGUCGAGCGGAGAGCUUCGGCUCUCAGCGGCGAACGGGUGAGUAACACGUAGGUCACGUACCCUUUGAUGGGGAAUAACCUAGGGAAACCUGGGCUAAUACCGCAUAUGUCCUUCGGGAUGAAAGCCUUCGGGCGUCAGAGGAUCGGCCUGCGGCCCAUUAUUUAAUCCUAGUUGGUAGGGUAAUGGCCUACCAAGGGUACGAUGGGUAGCUGGUCUGAGAGGAUGAUCAGCCACACUGGAACUGAGACACGGUUCAGACUCCUACGGGAGGCAGCAGUGGGGAAUAUUGGACAAUGGGCGAAAGCCUGAUCCAGCCACGCCGCGUGGGUGAUGAAGGCCUUCGGGUUGUAAAGCCCUGUCGGGAGGGACGAAUCAAUGACGGUACCUCCCAAGAAAGCACCGGCUAACUCCGUG
rnacentral:rRNA from 1 species